rnacentral:rRNA from 1 species
GGGCUGCAGUAUUUUGACUGUACAAAGGUAGCAUAAUCAAUAGUCUCUUAAUUGGUGACUUGUAUGAAAGAUUGGAUGAGAUAUAAACUGUCUCUAAUUGAUUUAUAAAAAUUAAUUUUUUAGUAAAAAAGCUAAAAUAAUUUUAAAAGACGAGAAGACCCUAUAGAGUUUAAUAUUUUAUUUAGUAAUUAUUAAUAUAUAUAAUUUUAAAAAUUAAAAUUAAAUGAAAUAUUUUGUUGGGGUGAUAAAAAAAUUAAAUUAACUUUUUUUGAUUGUAAACAUUAAUUUAUGGUUAAAUGAUCCAUUUAUAGUGAUUAAAAGAAAAAAUUACCUUAGGGAUAACAGCGUAAUUUUUUUUUUUAGUUCAAAUAGGAAAAAAAGUUUGCGACCUCGAUGUUGGAUUAA